GGUCCAUCAAAUAAAAAUCAUUUCAGCUACAAGUAACAAAAAACUCAACUGAUAGUGGCUUAAACACAUAUGGCUUUAUUUAUUUUUUUAAGUUAACAGGAACUGUGGCAUGGGUUCAGCUGCUCAAUGAUGCCAUCAAGAAAUUGGGCUCUUUCUGACUUUCUUCCUUCACAUGUUGUCUUCUUCCUCGUGCUCAUCCCCACAUGGUCACAAGAUGGCUGUCACAGCUCCAGACGGCUUGACUAUAUUCAAAGCAGAAAGAAAGAAGGGGACAACAUCAGCUAUUUGUGCCUCUGCUCAGAAAAGCAAAUACUUUUUCAGAAGGCCCGCAGCAAACAUCUCACUGGCCAAAGCCAGGUCACGUAGUCAUCCUUAGCUGCAAGGGAGGCUAAGAAAGUAUCUGGUUCUUCAGCCUCUGAGUGGGAGGUGGCAAGGAACAAGGGAUUUGGAAGUAGUUGCCUCUAGGGAGCAGGACUUGCAGUGGGAAGGAGUAGGACAGGAUAUUGUUGGAUUUUAUUAGGCAUCUCUUAGCACUGUUUUAUUUUUUUAAGUAUGUAUAUAUAUUCCUUUGAUAAAAAAUAAAAAUUAGGCCAUGAACAGAGUAUUCAGCCCUUGUUGCCUGGCGGGCUGGGAAAGAAAAUAUCUGACCACCAUCAGUUUCCAUAGUGGGAAAUAGGGCCAUGCCUCCCAAUUUGGCAGGGAUUCCCCCAAAAAACAGCAUGGGAAAUUAGAUGCUAGAGAACAGUAGAGUUCGCUCCUUUGGUCAUCCAACAUCCACAUAUAGCCUUCCUCCCGUAUUUAUGCUUUUAAAAAAAGCUUCCACCUAAUACGGUGCAAAUAUACCUCAUAUAACCAAACAUGCACCCAUCCCCUUUCCAGAGUGAGAAAACCAAAAACAUAAAUUAGAAUGCUUUCAGGGACAAGCAAUACAAAAUCCAACUCAAACUGUCUUGAAUAGUAAAUGCAAUUCAUUGGCUCACUUAACUGAAGAGUCCACAGGCAGGGAGAUUUCAGGCAUGGCAUGAUCCGGAAUAUGGUUCCAUUUCUGUGAUUCUCUUGGCUCUGCCUCCUCCAUUUUUCAGCUCCAUCCUCAGGUAGGCCUUCCACAUGUUCACAAGAUGGCUAACAGCAGCAACCAGGCUACAUGCUUCUUUGUUCUUAUCCAAGGGAAGAUAGGUCAUCUCCUCCCUCAAAAGCUGAAUAAAAGUCCUAAGCCUCAUUGUGAUUGGGUCAUCCCUGAACCAGUCAUCACUGUGGCUAGGAGGGUGAAAUUACUCAGAUCAGUUUAUACCAAUAAAGGCCUACACCUAGAGCUGGUGGUGGGGUCAAUCCCACUCACAUUGCAUAGUUGUUAUACAGCGGGAGAGGAGUGGAAUGGAUGCUGCAGAACAACUACAAUGUCCACUACAAGGGAGUAAACUAAGAAAGAGGAAGAUAUGGGGUCCAAGAAAGAUUGGGUCCAACCCAGAAUAAUGAAGGGACGUCCCAGGAUGACAGCUGCACCGCAGGCCUACAGAGCAAUCCGUCCAAAUUGGAACAGGAAGACGGAGGACUCCAGGAAGAAGGUAUCUGGGGAAAAAGGGGAUUCAAAUGAUUUUAUACUUUCCUUGAGACUUUGGAAUAACUUAAGAAGGUGAUAAAGUCAGACAAUGCAAGGAAAAAAAGAAAGACAAUUAGAAACUCUAAGGAAAAAAAGGUGUAUAAGAAAAGCAAUGUAAUCCUAAUAUACUAAUUGGAUCUUUCUGGAACAAUAUUUACAUAAUCAUAAUAAUGUAAACACUUUAUUGCCCUUAAACUUUUAGAAUGACCUACUGGCAAAGUAUGGAUGACUUAAUUAUGGUUAUAGAACAAAGUGUAAAUAUUAACCUUGUUAAUAUAAAAGUGCAGUUGACAAGUUAAAAGAGAGAAAAGGGAGAGUAAGUCUAUUAGUUAAAGGUAGAAAGAUAAGGAAUAGAGGAUAUAUAAUUAGUGACAUGGCUAUAUUGGAGGCAUGGGAAAGGCAUUCGGGUGGUAUAAAUAGCAGGAAGUUAAUAGAGAAUGACUAAAAUUGAUCAAUAAAAGUUGAUAAAUAGAAAAAUCUGUAUAUUGGCUGAGCGUGGUAGCUCACGCCUGUAAUCCCAGCACUUUGGGAGGGCAAGGCGGGCAGAUCACCAGAGGUCAGGAGUUCAAGACCAGCCUGGCCAACAUGGCAAAACCCCACCUCUACUAAAAAUACAAAAAUUAGCUGGGCGUGGUGGCGCAUGCCUGUAAUCCCAGCUACUCGGGAGGCUGAGGCAGGAGAAUCGCUUGAACCCAGGAGGCAGAAGUUGUAGUGAGCCAAGAUCGCACCACUGCACUCCAGCCUGGGCGACAGAGCAAGACUCCGUUUCAAAAAAAAAAAAAAAGAAAGAAAAAGAAAAAUCUGUAUAUUAUUUAGAGAUAUGAAGAUAAUUACUGGAAAAAAAAAAACCCAAACAGUUAAAAGUAGACUAGUAGAUUUCCAGGUCAAGAUGAUAAACUUACCAUGUGUUUUUCUCCACUUCCUCCUGAGACCCUGCUAAAAUCAUUGUAAAGGGAUUAAAAAGGGUAUAAAUCCACAAUGAUGAAGAGAGUGGGAACAGGUCCAUCAGCAAAAGAGAGAUUUCAACAAAUUUCUGGAAGAUAGAAGUCAAUGGAGGAAUGGUGACUGAUGGAGCAUGGUGGAGGAAGCCACAGCCUGGAGUAUGCAUGGAGGUGAUGCUUCAGAGGAAGAAGUUGCUCUUUCUCUGCAGAAGCCUGGAGUGUCUUGGUCUUGACAAUGCCAGGUAUGAUAAAGGAUGGGAGUCAAAUGUGGGGCUGAAAAUUGGGAGUUUAAUGGGAAGGCUGCAUAUCAAACCAUGAAUCCCCCUCCCCCUCCCUUGUGCACAAUUCACAGCAGCCAGGUGUCUACCCAUUAGGCAAAAACCAGAGGGUUCUUCGCUAAGGCUAUUGAACAACCUCAAAGAAAAGACGUUAGCAUUCUGGCAUUCAGGGACUCUGCAGCAUAGCAAGUUAGCUCUCUAGUCAUCCUAAAGGAAGGCCACCAGUUGCCUAGCCCUGCCCCCAUAUACAGAGCUUCUGAUCAGAUUUUUAUUGCUACAUUCUUAAAUAUCAGCAAACAACUAUGGAUCACUAAGCAUUUGAGAAAAGACUGCAACUUGAAAGAGACCAAAAUAAGUAAACAAGGGAAAAAAUAAUCCAAAUGAAAUAGAUAUUUCAAAGAACAGAAAGAAAUAUAAAAAUAUCUCUAUUAUUUUCAGAUUCAAGGUGAUAGUACAUCCAUAAAACAAGAACAGAAUGCAAUAAGAAAGGAAAAGAGAACAAGAGUGAAUACUAAGAAAUUUAAAAUCUGAUUGCCACAUGAAAAGACAUGCAAUAGAAGGGUUGAAAGAUAAAGUUAAGUCUUCUCUCAGAAAGUAAACAAAAACAAAAGGAAGAGAGGGACAAAGCUAGGGAGGGAGGGAGGGAAAGAGGAAGGGAGCGAGAGAUGGAAAAUAGGAGAGUGGAUAAAAAAUUACAAAAGAUAAAUUCAGGAGAUCUAACAUCUAACAUUAAGGAUUUCCAGAAAGAGAGAAUAAAGGAAAUGGAAUAAAGGAAUAGAUCAAAGACAUAAUAUGUGAGAAUUUCCCAGAGUUAAAAGACUUCAAAAUGAAGGGAUGUAACAAAUGACCAGCACAAUGAAUGACAAAAGAUCUGAAACCUAAACACAUAAUUUUUAAGUUUCAGAAUACCAAGAAUACAAUUCUUAAAAAAUAACAGGAGGCCAGGCACAGUGGCUCAAGCCUGUAAUCCCAGCACUUUGGGGGGCUGAGGCGGGCAGAUCACCUCAGUUCAGGAGUUCGAGACCAGCCU
rnacentral:lncRNA from 1 species